UUUGCGUGUUGUUAAAUAUUGAAAGAGGGGACGCGAUCAAAAAAAAAUUUGAGAGCCACUGUUUUUUAUUGCCUUUAGUCAAUGGAAAUUGAUAUUCGCUUCCUAAAUUAAGCCUAAAUACUUGUUAUACCAAUAGACAUAUACAUCUCUCAAAUAAUACAAAUCCAAUAAAACACAUUCAUUUAUUGUCAAGUUGGGCGAUUGAGCCUACGGCCCAUCUGACGUUAAGUGGUUACCGGAGCCCGUGGACAACGUCAGCGCGUUUAAGUUCCGAUUUCAUUAUAUGACAUUGGUUCGAUCGCUCCUUCGAUCAACAAUAGUAACUAGAUUUCGGGUCGGUGCAGAAAAUCCGUCUCGUCAAAUAACAGCUCACUUGAAAUGUGAGCUGUUAUUUUGUUUAGUUCACUUCAAACACAGCCAAUGUCAACCCGUCUCACAAUACCGCAAUGUGUAUUCAAAAGUUGCAAAAAUAAUGCCCGAAAAAGCAAUUUAACGGCCGGAGUAUAUUACUUUCGCUUUCCUAGCAAUCACGUGUGCAGAAUGGAUCUCGAUUGUCGCCAGAGAAACAAGAGAUGACUUUUAUAAGCCAGCUUCUUAGCUUGACACUGGACAUCUUUGCCUUCCGUGCUCACGGCUACUGAAACGUGGCCGCAACAUUGUAAUAAAAAUACCGCGCUUGAAACCGUUUAAA